rnacentral:rRNA from 1 species
ACUCCUACGGGAGGCAGCAGUGGGAAUAUUGCACAAUGGGCGCAAGCCUGAUGCAGCCAUGCCGCGUGUAUGAAGAAGGCCUUCGGGUUGUAAAGUACUUUCAGCAGUGAGGAAGGUGGGUGUGUUAAUAGCGCAUACUCAUUGACGUUAGCUGCAGAAGAAGCACCGGCUAACUCCGUGCCAGCAGCCGCGGUAAUACGGAGGGUGCGAGCGUUAAUCGGAAUUACUGGGCGUAAAGCGCAUGCAGGUGGUUUGUUAAGUCAGAUGUGAAAGCCCGGGGCUCAACCUCGGAAUUGC